CAGUAGCCGCGGGAAAACGGAGGGUGCGAGCGUUGUCCGGAUUUAUUGGGUUUAAAGGGUGCGUAGGCGGGCCCAUAAGUCUGGGGUGAAAGCCCGUUGCUCAACAACGGAACUGCCCUGAAAACUGUGGGCCUUGAGUACAGACGAGGGUGGCGGAAUGGAUGCUGUAGCGGUGAAAUGCAUAGAUAGCAUCCAGAACCCCGAUUGCGAAGGCAGCUGCCUAGACUGUAGCUGACGCUGAGGCACGAAAGCGUGGGGAGCGAACAGGAUUAGAUACCCCAGUAGUCCCUGUCUCUUAUAC
rnacentral:rRNA from 1 species